UGGGGAAUUUUGGACAAUGGGCGCAAGCCUGAUCCAGCCAGGCCGCGUGCAGGAUGAAGGCCUUCGGGUUGUAAACUGCUUUUGUACGGAACGAAAAGGUGCCUUCUAAUAAAGGGCGCUCAUGACGGUACCGUAAGAAUAAGCACCGGCUAACUACGUGCCAGCAGCCGCGGUAAUACGUAGGGUGCAAGCGUUAAUCGGAAUUACUGGGCGUAAAGCGUGCGCAGGCGGUUUUGUAAGACAGAGGUGAAAUCCCCGGGCUCAACCUGGGAACUGCCUUUGNGACUGCAAAGCUGGAGUGCGGCAGAGGGGGAUGGAAUUCCGCGUGUAGCAGUGAAAUGCGUAGAUAUGCGGAGGAACACCGAUGGCGAAGGCAAUCCCCUGGGCCUGCACUGACGCUCAUGCACGAAAGCGUGGGGAGCAAACA
rnacentral:rRNA from 1 species